rnacentral:rRNA from 1 species
CAGUCGCCGCGGUAACACGUAGGGCGCAAGCGUUGUCCGGAAUUAUUGGGCGUAAAGAGCUCGUAGGCGGUCUGUCGCGUCUGGUGUGAAAUCCCGAGGCUCAACCUCGGGCUUGCAUCGGGUACGGGCAGACUAGAGUGCGGUAGGGGAGACUGGAAUUCCUGGUGUAGCGGUGGAAUGCGCAGAUAUCAGGAGGAACACCGAUGGCGAAGGCAGGUCUCUGGGCCGCAACUGACGCUGAGGAGCGAAAGCAUGGGGAGCGAACAGGAUUAGAUACCCCCGUAGUCCCUGUCUCUUAUAC